rnacentral:rRNA from 1 species
GGGGAAUCUUAGACAAUGGGCGCAAGCCUGAUCUAGCCAUGCCGCGUGAGCGAUGAAGGCCUUAGGGUUGUAAAGCUCUUUCAGCUGGGAAGAUAAUGACUGUACCAGCAGAAGAAGCCCCGGCUAACUCCGUGCCAGCAGCCGCGGUAAUACGGAGGGGGCUAGCGUUGUUCGGAAUUACUGGGCGUAAAGCGCACGUAGGCGGACUGGAAAGUUGGGGGUGAAAUCCCGGGGCUCAACCCCGGAACUGCCUUCAAAACUCCUGGUCUUGAGGUCGAGAGAGGUGAGUGGAAUUCCGAGUGUAGAGGUGAAAUUCGUAGAUAUUCGGAGGAACACCAGUGGCGAAGGCGGCUCACUGGCUCGAUACUGACGCUGAGGUGCGAAAGCGUGGGGAGCAAAC